UAUGCACCUUCCAAAUUAAUAGAGAGCUAGAAAGACAGUCCCACAAAGGACAUCAAUAUUUAAUUAUUAGGACCCUCAGACCCCUGUAUCGUUAAUUAUCUUUGUCUUGUUGCCAACAAAUUAUUGACAACUGCUUCUUCAUCUUAACUGUAAGCUUUGAUAUACCAACACACACUUCGGUUACAAAGCCUGCAAGCGUUGCGUUUUUUACUCACCUUCAUAUCUAAAUUUCCGAUCACUUGUUGAGAUCAUAUCAUGGCUGGUGAACUUGUUGGUGGAGCAUUUCUUAAUGGCUUCCUUAACGUUGUCUUUGACAGGCUCCUUACAACUGAUGCUGUCAACUUGGUCCUGGGAAAGAAGCUUGGCCGUGACUUGGUUGAAAGGCUGAAGACUACUCUGUUGGGUGCUGAAGCUCUUGUUGCUGAUGCUGAGAUGAAGCAGUUUGGCAAUUCAUCGGUGAAGGAGUGGCUCGAUAAUCUCAGGGAUGCUGUUUACUGUGCUGAGGACUUGCUCGACUCUGUCCUCAUCAAAGCUAAAACGGGAGAAAAGGUACGGUCUUCCUGGCCUAUUAGCUUCUUCAAGGACCGGCAUAGGGAGAUGGUAGAUAGGAUGGAAGAGGUGGUUACAAGAAUACAGCAUCUUGGAAACCAAAAAGAUUCCCUUGGUCUUGAAAAGAUUCCCACUGGUGGCUCAUCAUGGAGGACUCCAACCAGUUCUCUUGAGAGAGGGAAUGUGUAUGGCAGGGAGGAUGACCAGAAGGCCUUAGUCCAGAUGCUGAAGGACAACAAUGAGCAUCACCUGUCUGUGAUAGCUAUUGUUGGCAUAGGUGGGGUUGGUAAAACAACUUUAGCCCAAUGGCUGUACAACAAUCAGGAGGAGUUCAUGAAGGGAUUUGAUCUGAAAGCAUGGGUUUGCGUUUCGGAGAAGUUUGAAGUUGCUGAGACUACAAAGAAUGUCAUAAAGCAGCUCCAUGGAGGUACUUGUAGUCUCGAUGAUUUCAAUUCACUUCACAAUGCUUUGAAAGGAGAAUUGUCCAAUAAGAAGUUCUUUCUUGUUCUUGAUGAUGUUUGGAGUGAUGAUGCUGACAAAUGGAGAAAUUUUAUGACCCCUUUCCAACAAAAUGGGAAUAAGGGAAGUAUUCUUCUUCUGACUACUCGGGAAGAAAAUGUUGCUUCCGCAGUUCAAAAUUGUCACCCUUAUUUUCUCAGGAAGUUGUCGGAGGACCAUUGUUGGUCAGUGUUUGCGGAAAAUGCAUCUUUUCCACAAUCAAAUUGGAGUGCAGCACUUGAAGAAAUAGGCAGAAAGAUUGUCAAGAAGUGCGAUGGCUUGCCAUUAGCUGCAGAAACACUUGGUCGCUUGUUACGUACUAAGCAUGAUGUUGAGGAAUGGAACAAGAUACUAAUGAGUCAUAUUUGGGAAUUUUCGGUGGAGAAGAGUAAGAUUAUUCCAGCAUUACUGAUAAGUUACUUCCAUCUUCCUCCACAUUUAAAGGGUUGUUUUGUUUACUGUGCUCUAUAUCCCAAAGAUUAUAAAUUUGAGAAGGAUGAAUUAAUCCUUAUGUGGAUAGCAGAAGAUCUUUUACCACCACCAAAGAGAGGAGAGAGUUUAGAAGAAGUUGGUUGCGAGUGUUUUGAUGAACUUACUUCCAGAUUAUUUUUCACGAAGAGUGAAGGCUUUCGUCAUUAUUUUGUGAUGCAUGAUCUCUUGCAUGACUUAGCAAUAUUCCUUGCUGGAGACUUCUACUGCAACUCAGAAGAACUUGGUAAAGAGGAGGAGAUAAAGAUUCAGACUCGGCAUUUGUUUGUGGAUUUAUAUCAUUGUAGCUCAAAACUUUAUAAUUCUAUUUCUAAAGUAGAAUCUUUGAGAACAUUAUUAUUGUUGGACGAUUUCUCAUCUCCCGACUCCAACACUGAAGCGGCAACAUAUGAGAUAUUAUCAAAGUGUAAAUACUUGAGAGCUUUAUCCUUCUGUAAACGUAAAAUGAGAGGUUUAUCCUUCAGUGUACCUGUUGUGGUGCCUGAUUCAAUUAAAGAAUUAGUCCAUCUGCGCUACUUGGAUCUGUCUUGGUCGAAUAUUAAGACAUUGCCAGAGUCUUUGUGCAACUUGUCUAAUUUGCAAACCUUGAAGUUGUAUCAUUGUCGUAAGCUAACUACGCUGCCUAGUGGUUUGCAUAAACUUUUGAAGUUGCAACAUCUCGAUAUUAGAAAAACUGCUUUGGAAGAAAUGCCCAGAAAAAUAAGCGAAUUGAAAGAGUUGCACGUUUUAAGUUCCUUUGUUGUCGGCAAGCAUGAAGACAAUGGAAUCCAUGAGCUAGGGGGGCUGGAAAAUCUUCAUGGACCCCUUGAGAUUAAGAAGUUGGAGAAUAUUGUUGAUGUGAAAGAAGCAGAGAGUGCAAAGAUAAUGGAUAAGAAGCACAUUCAUCAAUUAUGGUUGGAAUGGUCUUCAGGCGAAGAUAUGGUUUCAAGCUCAGAAAGAGAAAAAGUCAUGCUUGAUAAGUUGCAACCGCAGAAUGGGUUGAAAAAGUUGAAAAUCAAGGGAUACAAGGGUACAAUAUUUCCAGAUUGGUUGGGGAACUGUUCCUACCAAAACAUGACACGCGUAUCUCUAGAGUCUUGCAAGAAUUGCUGCAUGCUGCCCUCACUUGGACAGCUGCCAUCUCUUAAGUCCCUCAGCAUUGGAGUUUUGGAUCAGCUGAGGAGUAUUGGCGAGGAGUUUUACAAGAAUGAAGGAGAUCAUCAUUCUUCGCAUAUUGCACCGUUUCCCUCACUGGAGACUUUGGUAUUUUAUGACAUGCCAUGUUGGGAGGUGUGGCACGUAUCUGAGUCGGAAACAUUUCCUCAACUUAGGAAGUUUCAAAUAACAAAUUGCCCAAUGUUGAAGGAAGAGAUGCUUAAUCAGGUCUUCUUUAGAAUCGUUUCUUCUUUGUCGGAUGUUUCCAAAGUUCGCAAACUAAGUAUAGGCGACGAAAUGUAUCCACAGAUGAAGACCAUGAUUCUUGAUGGGGACAGUUUCUCAGUUAGGGGAUGUGAAUCUGUGAGGGAGUCUGCAUUAAAGGCAAUGAAGAGCAUGAACCAUCUAAGUUGCCUGCAAGAAAUAGACAUCUCAGGGUGUUCCUCUCAUGUAUCCUUUCCGGGCAAUUGUUUUCCCAAAUCUUUGCAAAAGCUGAAACUCUCCCAGUGUAGUAAACUAGAAUUCCCAGAGCAACAGCAGCACAAGUAUGAUUUGGUAGACCUACAAAUGGCAUACAGCUGUGAUUCACUGACUUCCUUGUCGUUGGAUGUCUUUCCCAAUCUCAAGAAUCUCGGGAUAUAUGAGUGUAGGAAUCUGGAAUCAGUGUCAAUGUCAGAGGCACCACACGCUGCUCUUCAACGUCUCUCCAUCAGUAGAUGCGACAAAUUAGUGUCAUUAGCAGGAGAAGGACUGGCUGCACCCAACUUGACUCAUCUCGGCGUCGCAUAUUGCAACAAGUUGGAGGCAUUACCACGUGACAUGAAUAGUCUACUCCCAAGUUUAGACUCUCUCCGGAUAUAUGGCUGCCCAAACAUUUGCAGGUUGCCAGAGGGUGGUUUGUGGCCUAACUUGAAAGAGCUUCAAGUGGGAAUUUGCGAACAACAAAUGAGGGAUCUAUCAUGGAUGCCCAACUUCCACGCCCUCACUCUUCUUGCAAUUGAUGGUGCUAUGUGUAAGAACAUAAAGUCAUACCCAGAGGUGGGUUCGCUGCCUCACCUUCCCUCUCUUACCACUCUGAGACUCUAUCAAUUUCCAAAUCUGGAGACAUUGGAGUGCAACGAGCUUCUCCGCCUCACCUCCCUUCAACAAUUAAUAAUUCAAGAAUGUGAGAACCUGGAGAAUAUGGAAGGAGAAAAGCUGCCUCCCUCUCUCUUGCUACUCAAAAUUCAAUACUGUGAUUUGCUGGGAGAACACUGCAAGAACAAGCAUCAACUAAUCUGGCCCAAAAUUUCCCACAUUCGCACCAUUGAAGUGGACUCCAAACAAAUUGUCUGAACAGAGAUUUCUGUGCAGUUACCUAUCGUGCUAGAAGAUUCAAGGUAAAAGGAAUCAGCAUGAGAGAUAGACUGUCCAACGUGCUAUCUGAAAUCAUUGGUAACAUAUUGUACCAUAUCUAGCCUUAUCAUCAGCAAGAACUAGAAGAUUUUCCCAAGGUGAACUCGAUUUAGCUAAUGUCGUUAAAAGGUCAAGUUGCGCAUCAGACAACAAUUUCAUCUCUAUCAACUUCACUAAUUGUGUGUCAGGAGAAAGCCUUUGAGCUCUGCAUGAGAUACAUUGGGGAAUAAGCAGCAAUACAGAAACAUGGGAAUACCCUUGCUGUCACUUGAGCAGAGAAGGUCAAAUAUUCUGAAACCGAAACAGUGUGAAUUGCAGAAAAGGAGAAGGAAACUUGAAAGGUUGGAGAAUAUGGCAGGAGAAAAGUUGAUGGAUCUAGAGGUAUUGAUAUUUGAAGAAGAAGAGUUGCAGCUUAACCCUUUAUGAAGGUAGCAUAAACUUGAUGGAUCUAGAGGGGCAUCAAGAGAUAGAUAACUGCUAUGCUGGAGGAUUUGCUUUGUUUCUGGUUUCAACCAUUAAAAUGUGCAUUAGGCAGCUUCUGUGGCAAUUGCAACUUGGUGAGCAUCUAAAAAGGAAUGCAACAAUGUUGAAAACAUCAUUGUGUAUUUAUCAAGCAGGUUCUUAUCAUAGUCCUUCAACUUUGAGGUGUGAUCGCUAUCCAUAUUCUCUAGCCAAAAAGUUCGUAAACAACCGCUGUCUAUUGUAUCAUUGAUUUCACCAUUUAGUUUAUGUGGUCAUGUUCUUGGACAAGAGUUCUGCAUGUAUGAUUUGUAGUGCUUGUAAGUUUUGAGACUUGCUUGUAGCUUUAUUUGGAAAAUAGUGAAUAUUUUUAGCUUCCCGUGGGUUUUUUUCCCUCUCACAUUGAGAGG